GGCGCAUUCGUCUAGAGGCCCAGGACGCAUCCCUUUCAAGGAUGAGAUCGGGGGUUCGAAUCCCCCAUGCGCUACCU
rnacentral:tRNA from 1 species